GGAUGUGAGGGCGAUCUGGCCACAAUAUCUGUCACCCCAUUGAUCGCCAGGGUUAACGGAGCUGAUCUGGCUGGCUGGGCGGGUGUCCCCUUCCUCCCUCGCCGCUCCAUGUGCAUCCCUCCCAAAGCUGCAUCAUUUGAAGAGUACAACCUUCCCCGAAUAGAGGAGAGCCAGGCUUCGGUCAAGGGUAUACUAGUGACUGUGCUCCCCUACUAGAACCUCCAAACAAGCUCUCAAAAGACUGCAGUCCUUCUGUUUUCCAAUGCAGGUCAUCUGGUCCAGUCACAAUGGUUAUAAUCUCUCAUACAAUUACAGCUGAAUGGGCAGAAGUU
rnacentral:snRNA from 1 species